rnacentral:rRNA from 1 species
GAUGAACGCUGGCGGCGUGCUUAACACAUGCAAGUCGAACGAACCUUCGGGUUAGUGGCGGACGGGUGAGUAACGCGUGAGAAUCUGCCCUCAGGAGGGGGAUAACGGUUGGAAACGACCGCUAAUACCCCAUAUGCCUACUGGUGAAAUGAAUUUCGCCUGAGGAUGAGCUCGCGUCUGAUUAGCUAGUUGGUGAGGUAAUGGCUCACCAAGGCUUCGAUCAGUAGCUGGUCUGAGAGGAUGAUCAGCCACACUGGGACUGAGACACGGCCCAGACUCCUACGGGAGGCAGCAGUGGGGAAUUUUCCGCAAUGGGCGAAAGCCUGACGGAGCAACGCCGCGUGAGGGACGAAGGCCUCUGGGCUGUAAACCUCUUUUCUCAAGGAAGAAGAUAUGACGGUACUUGAGGAAUAAGCCACGGCUAAUUCCGUGCCAGCCGCCGCCGUAACAC